GUAAUCUUAUGUUUUUAUCUUAUAGAUGCAUUCAUCUGCUGUCAAGCUGUAGUGACAGAUCAACAGACUGAUUUGGGAUCAAAUGUGACCAUAAACUGUGAUCUUGAUGAUAAUGAGGUUUAUUGGAUUUUACUGAAAACACCAGAUCCUCCAACAGUGAUUCUACGAUCAUUCUCAACACCAAAAUCACCUUUUUACUAUAAUAAUACAUUCAGAAACAAAUAUUCAGUGCAAUUUAAACAUUGUCUGGUUAUAAAAAAUGUGACUGCUGAUGAAUUAGGAGUUUAUUACUGUAUGAAAACAGGCACACCUCCAAAACUCAGCAACAGCACCAGACUGUACAUCGCCGAAUCAACUCAACUAACUGAGUGUCACAAUCAUACAACUGAGUGUCACAAUCAUACAGCAGUGGAUUUUAUUGAUCAGAAUCAGACACAAUGCCAGGUUAUUAUCAUCAUAUCUGGUCUGAUGAACGGGCUGCUGGUCAUUGUGCUGAUCGGACUAUUAAAGGUUUUUGUUUUUGGAAUCAGAAGGUUUGCAGAACAAUCACCGCUCAACACUGAUCUACAGCACACACUAGUUGAG